CCUGGUCUUUCUUUACUAAAAAUGUUAUUCAAUACAAAAGUGUUAUAGUAUUACCUCAAAAUAACCUAGAAAAAGUGAAGAAAAACACUACAUAUGCUGGAAUAAAAUUGUAAAACUAUAUCCCCAAAAUAACUAAUGUCAAAAGAUGUUUUUAUGUAGUAUUCAUUCCUCUCAAUGGAUGAAUUUUAUUAUCUCACCUAGACAGUCAGCAUAAAAAUAGCUUAAACAUCCAUUCUUCUUUUUUAAGUGAUUUUUGAGGGCUUGUAGUGUACCCUAAAGAAAGACGAAUAGUUUUUUUAAAUGUACAUUGAUAGAAAUACUAUUAAUAUCAUGUUAAUAAUAGUUCUGAUUUACUUGAAACUAUUUAUUAUACAGUUCAUUAAAAGCAAAUAAAGAUAUUAUUGAUUUACUGAGAUUGAGAUCAAUUUUGAAACCUUACUGCAUAAAACAACGUUGUCCUUAUUAAAAUAUGGCAAUAAAUUAAAUAUUGAUAACCUUCUAGUGAGGUGAUAAGAAAAUAGAUUAAUUUAAAUAACCAUGUUUAUCAGAAGUAAUAGAAGAAUAUUUUUUUAACUUUAAUUAUUUAAAAUUGAUUAACUACUGUAAGCUAUUAAGAAAUUAUGGAAAUUUAACAGUUUUUUUUUUAAUGCAAGUGGUUACACUUGUCCAUUAAAUCAAAUACCAUUAAAUCUAAACUAAUUAUUUAUAAAAUGUUGCAGGGCCCAGUAUAAGUAGGAAGUAGUCCAUUCAUUCAAAAACUAAUUUCAUUAGAUAAUAACAAGGUCUUCGCAUGUACUUUUCAGUCUUAGUCCUUAUACUACUUAGUAAAAGCACUUAUGAUGUAAUAUAUGAUACAGUUCUAUAGAAUUGUUUAAAUUGAAAGUAGGCAUACAACAGGUAGAUAUUAUUUAAGUGUUCAUGGUUAAUAGUAUAACCUGACUCUUAUAACAUAUUUUGCAGGUGUAGGAGCAUUUAUGAUUCAAAUAAAUGAUAUUUCCAAUACAACAGCUGAGUCUGCCUUGUUACUCUGAUCAAGAAAAUACAUACACAGGUCUCGGAAACCUACUUCGGUCAACAAUUUACCUUAUUGCCCUGAUGAAAAACUAUAUAUGUAUUUGGCUCUCAAAAAUCUACUUUGGUCAAAAAGCAUCUACUUCCGGCUUUUGUAAUCUACUUUCAGUCUGAAUAUUUCUAAAGGCACACCUGAGUCUGCCUUGUUGUCUCAAUUAAAAAUACAAAUAUAUAGGUUUGAGAAACCUAAUUUGGUUACAAGGUGUAUACUUCUGACCAUAUAAAAUCACUUACGAUGCCACAGUUAAGUUUGCCUUGUUGUGACAAUGAAGGAAAUAUACAUACAUACGUCAGAAUGAGAAGCCUAUUAUGGAUUAGGGGGAUAUCCUACCUACUUCCUAUCUUCUUCUAGUAUAAGAGAGAAAUCCUUAUUCAGUUCAUGCAACAUUACAAAAUAAUCAGUUCAAAGAAUCAAAACCUUAUUGUUUUUCUGACUGUAGUCUGGUAAAGAAGGGAUUGUUGACGUAUGUUACUGUUCAUUUCAUUAACAUACCAUUUCUUUUACAUAGUUUUUAUGUGUUCUUCUUUAGUGUGUUUUCCAUUAACCACUGUUAAAUUGCCAUAUUACAAUGUAAAAAAAAUCUAACCAGUUUGGAGUACUUUAUGUGAAAACAUUCACAGCCUUUUUCAUCAAGGUUGAUUUUGUAACAGUAUUUACAAUAGUAAUUACAACACAUUAUAUGUUUUUAAUUAGUAAAUGCCACAAUCUGGAGUAAAAUUUACAUAUUAAUUUUGUAUUUGCUAUCUGCAUUACACUACUGAUCAAGCACUGUAUACCUGAUAUUUUAUCAAAUUUAAAUGUAAACAAAUGUUUCAGCCAAUAUGUCGAACUUUAACUGUAAGUGUCAACAGCUGUUUAGUGUCAGUUAAAUUUGGAUUAUGAGACAUAAAUACUAAAGUUUUUUUCUGAAUUCCAAAAUAUUCCAGAUAACUUUUCUAAACUUUAUCUUCAUAUAAACCUUCCUCGGAUUUUAAUAAAUAUUGUACAAAGAGAAUUAGCUGAAUUGGCCUACCCAUUCUCGAAAUUUACUCUUAGCAACAUAUUUUUUUAUUCAUUUUUAUUUAUAAGCUAAAUUUUAUAAAACUAACUUUACCAGAAUUAACUAUUAUAGUUUUUACAUGAUUUUAUUUAUCGUCGCUUAAGAAACAGGACCGCCUUAAGUGACAUUUUUUGCUGAAAUUGAGUUAUUGGUAUCAAUGGACGCAGAAUUUCUCUGCGGACCGUUUGGCUCUGUUAGUUCAACAAAACUCUAACAGAUAGCGUCACUAUCGCAUUUGAAACAGCCCCGCCUGUCUGCAACCUCAGUGGCAGUACCGCCUAUAUAGCGAGGCAAGCCAUCAGUCAGUAGAUACCGGCUCGCAUAUCGUCACUGUUCUAUUGGAAUUGUGUCUACAUUGUGCAACCUUUGGCGUCAUUAAGAGUACAGUGAUGGAUAGUUCAAGCAAUUCUGAGGAUGAGGGAGGUUUAUUCACAUCGUCAGAGAUCUCAAAAGAAAUGGGAUUUAGUACAUCCACAAUUGAAAGAGCUACUAAGAGGUCACAUCAAAGUUCUUCUGGCAAUGAAAACCACAAUUUAAAGAAGAUUAAAAUGACAAGUGCUGAAGAGGACAUUGUAACAGAUUCUCUCUGCUACCUAAGCACUAUGGAAUUGCAGGAUGUGUCUACCACUUUGAAUAUAAGUGAUAUUGUUGAUACAGCUGUCUCAUCGUGUAGCACGACACAACGUCAGCUCCCUGAUAUUAGAAAUAACUAUUUUGACGUUCAGAAAGACACUUCAAUUGCAGAUUGUGACUUAAGUUUUUAU